rnacentral:rRNA from 1 species
UACGAAGGGAGCUAGCGUUGUUCGGAAUCACUGGGCGUAAAGCGCACGUAGGCGGAUGUGUCAGUCAGGGGUGAAAUCCCGGAGCUCAACUUCGGAACUGCCUUUGAUACAGCACGUCUUGAGUCCGGAAGAGGUGGGUGGAAUUCCUAGUGUAGAGGUGAAAUUCGUAGAUAUUCGGAAGAACACCAGUGGCGAAGGCGGCUCACUGGCCCGGUACUGACGCUGAGGUGCGGAAGCGUGGGGAGCAAACAGG